rnacentral:ncRNA from 1 species
GAUCUGGAAAGAAUGUUCAAUCAUUCACCGAAGGGGAAAGGCAAAGCCGAAGCUCUCAGGUAUCAAGACAGAGGGGGA